GCCUUGGUAGUGUAAUGGAUUAGCACGGUAGACCGUUUAUCUGUAGGUGCAGGUCCGAGUACCGUCUAAGGCU
rnacentral:tRNA from 1 species